GACGAACGCUGGCGGCGUGCCUAAUACAUGCAAGUCGACCUUAGUGGCGGACGGGUGAGUAAUGUAUGGGGAUCUGCCUGAUGGAGGGGGAUAACGUCCGGAAACGGGCGCUAAUACCGCAUACUAUCAGAUGAGCCUAGGUCGGAUUAGCUAGUUGGUGGGGUAAAGGCCUACCAAGGCGACGAUCCGUAACUGGUCUGAGAGGAUGAUCAGUCACACUGGAACUGAGACACGGUCCAGACUCCGACGGGAGGCAGCAGUGGGGAAUAUUGGACAAUGGGCGAAAGCCUGAUGCAGCCAUGCCGCGUGUAUGAAGAAGGCCUUCGGGUUGUAAAGUACUUUCAGUCGGGAGGCGUUACCGACAGAAGAAGCACCGGCUAACUCCGUGCCAGCCGCCGCGGUAAUUC
rnacentral:rRNA from 1 species